ACGCUGGCGGCAGGCCUAACACAUGCAAGUCGAACGGUAGCACAGAGAGCUUGCUCUCGGGUGACGAGUGGCGGACGGGUGAGUAAUGUCUGGGAAACUGCCUGAUGGAGGGGGAUAACUACUGGAAACGGUAGCUAAUACCGCAUAACGUCGCAAGACCAAAGAGGGGGACCUUCAGGCCUCUUGCCAUCAGAUGUGCCCAGAUGGGAUUAGCUAGUAGGUGGGGUAACGGCUCACCUAGGCGACGAUCCCUAGCUGGUCUGAGAGGAUGACCAGCCACACUGGAACUGAGACACGGUCCAGACUCCUACGGGAGGCAGCAGUGGGGAAUAUUGCACAAUGGGCGCAAGCCUGAUGCAGCCAUGCCGCGUGUAUGAAGAAGGCCUUCGGGUUGUAAAGUACUUUCAGCGGGGAGGAAGGUGUUGCG
rnacentral:rRNA from 2 species